GUACGAGAGUUUUUAACUCAAGUGGCGGACGGGUGAGUAACACGUGAGAAUUUACCUUUAGGAGGGGGACAACAGCUGGAAACGGUUGCUAAUACCCCAUAUGCUUCCGAGUGAAAUGAAUUUAUUCGCCUAAAGAGAAGCUCUCGGCUGAUUAGCUUGUUGGUAGGGUAAGAGCCUACCAAGGCGACGAUCAGUAUCUGGUUUGAGAGGACGAUCAGACACACUGGAACUGAGACACGGUCCAGACUCCUACGGGAGGCAGCAGUGGGGAAUUUUCCGCAAUGGGCGAAAGCCUGACGGAGCAAUACCGCGUGAGGGAAGACGGCCUAUGGGUUGUAAACCUCUUUUUUCAGGGAGGAAUAACUGACGUGUACCUGAAGAAUAAGCAUCGGCUAACUCCGUGCCAGCAGCCGCGGUAAG
rnacentral:rRNA from 1 species